UACGAAGGGGGCGAGCGUUGUUCGGAUUUACUGGGCGUAAAGGGCGCGCAGGCGGCGAUUUUUGUCAGGCGUGAAAGCCCCGGGCUCAACCUGGGAACUGCGCUGAACGGGAUUGCUGGAGAUCGGGAGAGGAGAGUGGAAUUCCCAGUGUAGAGGUGAAAUUCGUAGAUAUUGGGAAGAACACCGGUGGCGAAGGCGGCUCUCUGGACCGAUACUGACGCUGAGGCGCGAAGGCGUGGGGAGCAAACAGGG
rnacentral:rRNA from 1 species